UUUGUGGUCAAGUUUCUAAGAGCAAACGGUGGAUGCCUUGGCAUCUGGAGCCGAUGAAGGACGUAGAAAUCUGCGAUAAGCCUCGGGGAGCUGAUAAUCGAGCUGUGAUCCGAGGAUUUCCGAAUGGGGAAACCCCGCCAGGCGUUUUGCGACCUGGUGACUCC
rnacentral:rRNA from 2 species